AGGGUUGAUUAACAGAGUGCUAGAAUGCACACUCAUCAGACACCAUAAAAGGUGUUAGUUCAUCUAGAUAGCCCAACAGUGGCCAUGGAAGUCAGAAUCUGCUAAGGAGUAUAUAAUAACUCAAGGGCUGAAUGAACUAGCCCUAAAAAUAGAUAGCACUUAAGCAUGCUACCCAUACCUUGCUAUCAGCGUAGAAAUGAUGCCCUGAUAAGUAGGCAGGCAUAGGGGUCUGUGAUAAAGCCUUAGGAGUGAUUCUAGGUUAAAUAGCCCCUAGUGCAGAUCUUAGUGGUAUUAGUAAAUCCUUAAAUGAGAACUUUAAGGACUAAAGUAGGGAAAGGUUCCAUGUGAACAGCAGUUGGACAUGGGUUAGUCGAUCCUAAGGCAUAGGGAAGUUCCAUUUAAAAGGCACCCUUGUGCACUAUGUGCUAAAAGGGAAGCUAGUUAACAUUCCAGCACCUGGAUUCUCACAGUAACAUAACUAAACACAAGAGUUAGUUAAGAAUCUAACCAGCAGCAGCAGCACCAGCAACUUACAGUUAAUAAGAGUAGCCUGAUUAUCAGUAUUCAUUU